rnacentral:rRNA from 1 species
UACGGGGGGGGCAAGCGUUGUUCGGAAUUACUGGGCGUAAAGGGCUCGUAGGCGGCCAGGUAGGUCUGCUGUGAAAACUCGAGGCUCAACCUCGAGACGUCGGCGGAAACCAUCUGGCUAGAGUCCGGAAGAGGAGAGUGGAAUUCCUGGUGUAGCGGUGAAAUGCGCAGAUAUCAGGAAGAACACCCGUGGCGAAGGCGGCUCUCUGGGACGGUACUGACGCUGAGACGCGAAAGCGUGGGGAGCGAACAGG